rnacentral:rRNA from 1 species
UACGUAGGGGCCGAGCGUUGUCCGGAGUUAUUGGGCGUAAAGCGCGCGCAGGCGGCUUCGCGCGCCCGACGUGAAAGCCCCCGGCUUAACCGGGGAGAGUCGUUGGGGACGGCGGGGCUUGAGGGCGGGAGAGGUCGGUGGAAUUCCCGGUGUAGUGGUGAAAUGCGUAGAGAUCGGGAGGAACACCUGUGGCGAAGGCGGCCGACUGGGCCGACCC